rnacentral:sRNA from 1 species
UGUGACUGGUGUUCACUUUAACCAUUCUCCACUCUUAAGGUUAUUUCUAUUCGGGCAUUUUCUGUAGUCCCAUGCUCCGAGGGUCAUCCGCUUUUGCUCAAUACAACAAGCAUGGUUCUUUUCCAACCAUCUAAAAAUUCUAUAUCAUUGAGAAGCUGGAACUUAAAAAUAUGAUAAGGAAAGUGUUCUGAAAACUUGCCAAGCCAAUGAUACAACAAGAUAUGCCUGGAGGUCGUUUUCCGUGGACGGCUGAACAAUGGGAUCAGGCAUGGGACGACAUCGAGAGAGGCAAUCCUGGGCCUCAACUAAUAUUUCCCAUCAUCAUCAUCAUCAUCAUCAUCAUCAUAUCCGACGCCAGUCCCAUUACAUUAAAAGUAAAACUUGAAGAGACUACAGGGCCGGUGACGGCAGAUCUGGAGUGGGC